rnacentral:tRNA from 1 species
CUGGUGGUCCAAUGGUUAAGACUCUGCACUCCCAAUGCAAGGGGCCCUGGUUCGAUUCUUGGUCAG